GGGCGAAAGCCUGACGCAGCAACGCCGCGUGCGGGAUGAAGGCCUUCGUGGUUGUAAACCGCUUUCAGCAGGGACGAAAAUGACGGUACCUGCAGAAGAAGCUCCGGCUAACUACGUGCCAGCAGCCGCGGUAAUACGUAGGGGGCGAGCGUUGUCCGGAAUCAUUGGGCGUAAAGAGCUCGUAGGCGGUUCAGUAAGUCGGGUGUGAAAGCUCCGAGCUCAACUCGGAGAGGCCACCCGAUACUGCUGUGACUAGAAUCCAGUAGGGGAGUGUGGAACUCCUGGUGUAGCGGUGAAAUGCGCAGAUAUCAGGAAGAACACCAGCGGCGAAGGCGGCACUCUGGGCUGGUAUUGACGCUGAGGAGCGAAAGUGUGGGUAGCAAACAGGAUUAGAUACCCUGGUAGUCCACACCGUAAACGUUGGGCACUAGGUGUGGGGAGGAUCAACCCUUUUCCGUGCCGUAGCUAACGCAUUAAGUGCCCCGCCUGGGGAGUACGGCCGCAAGGCUAAAACUCAAAGGAAUUGACGGGG
rnacentral:rRNA from 1 species